rnacentral:rRNA from 1 species
UACGUAGGGGGCAAGCGUUGUCCGGAAUCAUUGGGCGUAAAGAGCGUGUAGGCGGCCAGAUAAGUCCGCUGUGAAAUCUCGAGGCUCAACUUCGAGCUGUCGGUGGAAACUGUCUGGCUAGAGUACGGUAGAGGGGGAUGGAAUUCCCAGUGUAGAGGUGAAAUUCGUAGAUAUUGGGAAGAACACCGGUGGCGAAGGCGGCUCACUGGCUCGUAACUGACGCUCAUGCACGACAGCGUGGGGAGCAAACAGG